UCGGUCCCUAUCUGCCGUGGGCGCUGGAGAAUUGAGGGGGGCUGCUCCUAGUACGAGAGGACCGGAGUGGACGCAUCACUGGUGUUCGGGUUGUCAUGCCAAUGGCACUGCCCGGUAGCUAAAUGCGGAAGAGAUAAGUGCUGAAAGCAUCUAAGCACGAAACUUGCCCCGAGAUGAGUUCUCCCUGAGACCUUGAGUCUCCUGAAGGAACGUUGAAGACGACGACGUUGAUAGGUCGGGUGUGUAAGCGCAGCGAUGCGUUGAGCUAACCGAUACUAAUGAACCGUGAGGCUUAACCUU
rnacentral:rRNA from 1 species